rnacentral:rRNA from 1 species
GAGUGAACGCACCGCUGGUGUUCGGGUUGUCAUGCCAAUGGCACUGCCCGGUAGCUAAGUGCGGAAGAGAUAAGUGCUGAAAGCAUCUAAGCACGAAACUUGCCCCGAGAUGAGUUCUCCCUGACCCUUUAAGGGUCCUGAAGGGACGUUGAAGACGACGACGUUGAUAGGCCGGGUGUGUAAGCGCAGCGAUGCGUUGAGCUAACCGGUACUAAUGACCCGUGAGGCUUAACCUUACAACGCCAGAGGCGUUU